CUCCUGCAGCAUCUCCAUUUCUGGCUCUGCUCCCGGAACACCAAGGAGAGAGCUAGGGCCAUAAGGAGCAACACUUCCCUGCUCCGAUUCGCCACCUCCCUCUCUGGAUUUGACACCUCCUCUGAUUUCCCCAAGGCGGGCAACUUUGUGCUGCAGCUGGGCCUCUACAUCUCUGACCCAGCCAAUGACAUCAGACGGCAAGCCAGGGGCGAGAUAUAUGGGCCGCAGAGGCUCCUGCUGCAGAGGAGGGGGCUGAACAUCAGAGAGGCGAGCAAUCUGUGGUAUCAGGACGGGCUCCAAGACACCGAGCGCCUGGCCUACAGGAACAUGGCCAGGGUGGGGAAGGU